AUUGAACGCUGGCGGCAGGCCUAACACAUGCAAGUCGAGCGAGCGGCGGACGGGUGAGUAAUGUAUGGGGACUGCCCGAUAGAGGGGGAUAACUACUGGAAACGGUGGCUAAUACCGCAUACUAUCGGAUAACACAUAUGGGAUUAGCUAGUAGGUACGGUAAUGGCUUACCUAGGCGACGAUCCCUAGCGGGUCUGGGAGGAUGAUCAGCCACACGUGGACUGAGACACGGCCCAGACUCAUACGGAGGCAGCAGUGGGGAAUAGUGCACAAUGGGCGCAAUCCUGAUGCAGCCAUGCCGCGUGUAGGAAGAAGGCACUAGGGUUGUAAAGUACUUUCAGUCGGGAGGCGUUACCGAAAGAAGAAGCACCGGCUAACUCCGUGCCAGCAGCCGCGGUAAUUC
rnacentral:rRNA from 1 species